AGUGAACGCUGGCGGUAGGCCUAACACAUGCAAGUCGAACGGCAGCACAGUAAGAGCUUGCUCUUACGGGUGGCGAGUGGCGGACGGGUGAGGAAUACAUCGGAAUCUACUUUUUCGUGGGGGAUAACGUAGGGAAACUUACGCUAAUACCUCAUACGACCUACGGGUGAAAGCAGUGGAUCUUCGGACCUUGCGCGAUUGAAUGAGCCGAUGUCGGAUUAGCUAGUUGGCGGGGUAAAGGCCCACCAAGGCGACGAUCCGUAGCUGGUCUGAGAGGAUGAUCAGCCACACUGGAACUGAGACACGGUCCAGACUCCUACGGGAGGCAGCAGUGGGGAAUAUUGGACAAUGGGCGCAAGCCUGAUCCAGCCGUACCGCGUGGGUGAAGAAGGCCUUCGGGUUGUAAAGCCCUUUUGUUGGGAAAGAAAAGCAGCAGGUUAAUACCCCGCUGUUCUGACGGUACCCAAAGAAUAAGCACCGGCUAACUUCGUG
rnacentral:rRNA from 1 species